UGAGCAAUCUGCCCUUCUCAUCGGAAUAAGCGUUGGAAACGACGUCUAAUGCCGAAUACGACCUCCUUUCGCAUGAUCGGAGGUGGAAAGCUCCGGCGGAGAAGGAUGAGCUCGCGGCCUAUCAGCUAGUUGGUGUGGGUAAUGGCCCACCAAGGCGAUGACGGGUAGCCGGCCUGAGAGGGUGACCGGCCACACUGGGACUGAGACACGGCCCAGACUCCUAGGAGG
rnacentral:rRNA from 1 species